AGUGGUUCUUGGGUGAUGCACCCUGGAAUUGGGCUCUCUCCUCUCUGGUUCUGGGUGUGUCACCUGAGAACCGCC
rfam:Myotis lucifugus cont2.22549, whole genome shotgun sequence.